UCACCCCUCAAGCUCCGGCUUGGUGUUGGACGGUUUGGUUUUGGCGACAAGACCCCUCCUAAAGUUAAUGACGGCGGCCUGUGCGACCCCCAGUACACUGAGCUUCUUAACUGAGCACGUACUGGCUUCAGGGUCAACAGGACCCGGUCUUCUUCCUUCAUGGGAAACAAUUUUUCAUAAAAA
rnacentral:misc_RNA from 1 species